UCUUCAGGUUCUUUAGAUUUCUUUAAAAAUCCAAUUUUGUUUUCUAAUAAGCAAAAAGUUAAAUCACUUUACCCAUGUUUAUAUGUUAAAUUGCACUUGUCUCUCUCUCUAUCUCUGUUAACACAUUUGUAUUUGUUUGAUUCAUUCUUGUGUCUUUCAGCCUGUUUCUGCCUAUCACCAUGAGUGAUUCCUUUAUACUCAGAUUUAUCAUCAAGAUCUCAAUUAUAAGCUCAAGUCUUGAUGACAACUUGAUGAUCUGCAGGAAGCACCACCAUGUAAGGAAGGCCAAGACCACUCUGGAAUCAGUCAAGGCUCAUAGGAACUCCAAUCUUCCCAACUGUGAGAGAGCCUUGCUCCAGUGACUGAUUGCAGUGACCAGACAUGCUACUGUAACUCUCAUGGUCAUGUGCUGGAAUUAGCAGAUAUUCAACAAUUUGGCCAUCUCGCCGACCUAUUGAUAUCAGAAGACCGCAACAGCUCUGCAAAGCAAGUUGGAAAACAGAAUCCAUGAAACUGGCAGUGACUGGAAACCAAUUGGAAGACUUUGGUCUGUGAUGUAGAGGAGUGGGCAGACGUUGCAGAAGCAAAGACAACAAAAAACAGAAGUGAUAUGGAUGUCUUCAUCAUAUGGCAUGACUCUGCUGACCCAGCAACAAAGAGGAGGGUGUUCAACAUCAUCCUGCUAGUCAGGAUUCUUCAGGAGCAGUGGAUUCUUGUGGCAGAGAUGGCCAACCACUAUAAAUACCUUUCAACUAAUCCUGGUUCCUUCAAAGAACUUUCCUGCUUGUUUGCUACUGAAAAGUACUGAUUCGACAUGUGGCCUAAACGAAGAGGGGUUAAAAGGUCUAUGGAUCAUCAUUCUCAGAA